rnacentral:lncRNA from 10 species
AGAGAGGCCUCGGGGGGAUUCUGGGGCCUGGUAAAGUUUGGGAACUGCUGGUCUACACCAUGAGGAGAAACGCUGGACCCGGCCUAAGAAGAGGCCCUCCCUCCUGUCUGACAAUGAGCCAUGAGAAGACCAUGGGAAAAAAAAGAGGCCACCAGAAACCCUAUUGCCGAGGUCCUGGCAAGGAAGAAAAGGACAGAAGAGCUAAUUUCCCUACAAGAACACGGGUCUAGGAAACAGAAAAUAAAGGAAGCUUCCAUUUCAUGGGCAGAGACAUCUCGGCAAAUAGGCUGAGCCCAUGUCCCCAGAGCUCUGAGUAAUUAAAUUUUGAGAAAAGUG